AUCAUUAACAACAAAUAACUUGCUCUUUGAUGGUUUCCUCUGGACUUCCUCAUUCCCAAGGGGCCGACAGGAGGACAUAAUCUGCAGGGCACACUCAUGUCUACCAAGAGCUGGCUGCAAAGGAGGUGUUGUUUUAGGCGACAGAGGGACUUAUGGUCCAAAUAUGCUACACUUUCAGGCCAAAGGUGGGGGAAACAGGAAAAAUCCCCCUGAAGCACAGGAUGCACAUGGACAGACCACGACAGCUGGAAUAAAGCAGGAUAUGGAGAGAGAACGAAAGGAAGAGAGGAUUGUGGGAUGCAGCUGAAGUUAGAUUAAAUAAUUCCUGUUUUGCAGGGCUGUUUUUGUGUCCUGUUGUUGCAGCGCACCAUCCAGGGAAGCUGGAGAAACAGUGCUGUCGUCAGAACUGUUGACUGGUAGAUAGCACAACACCUGCCAAAUAAAACACAUUAGUCACUUGAGUUAAACUACGUUUACUGAAGAAACCGUUGAGUGGGGUUUGCUUUGAAACUUACAGCCAUGAUGGGUGUCGCUGGUGUUUGCCAGCCCAGGGCAUUGCAUUGUAGUUGCUAGGGUGUUCUGAGUGAUCGCUACUGCGCUGCUAGGUGUUUUUUUAACAUGCUACGAUGUGGUUGCUAGGGUGUUCUGAAUGGUUGCUAAGACAUUCCAAAUUGGUUGAUACGGUGUUCUGAAUGAUUUUAAGCACAUUGUUUUCCAGUGUCUGGUUGCUAGAACAAAUCUAGGUGGUUGCUAGGGGAGUUGCUAGGGUGCUCUGGAUAAUUGUUAGGACAUUGCUUGGUGGAUACCACAUUGCUGCAUGGUUGCUAGGGUGUUCUAGAUGGUUGCUAAGACAAUUCCAGGUGGUUGACAGGGUGUUCUGAAAGUUGCUAUAGAAUUGCUAAGACUGUUGCUAAGGUGUUCUGGAUGGUUGUUGGACAUUGGGAGGUGGCUGAUACGGUGUUUUGUUAUCCCGUUAAUAGGACAUUGCAAGGUGGUUGAUAAGUUGUUCUGAAUAGAUUUUAACAUGUUGCUAUGCGGUUGCUAGGGCUACUGCUAGGUAUUCUUAGGGCAGUUGGUUAUUAGGGUGUGCUAAUCUGUGUUUGCACAGCAUGCAAUCUGGUUACUAGGUGAUUGCUAAUGAUGAGGGGUUUACAGCGCAUUGCUAUGCAGUUUCUGAGCUGUUCUGGGUGGUUACUUAUUGACCCAUUUCAUGGUUCAUGGUCAGUGGGAUUUUUGCAUGUAUUGUAACCCAACACAUGAACCAUGACUUUUACACAAGCACAUAUUUUAUUCAGAAAAUGAUACGCUGUCAUUAUCGACCUUUCUAGAGAAGGUACUUUACAUUAAUUUACCAUCUAUUCAAAUGCUUUUCCAAGUACUUCUGGAACUCACGCCUCACAAACAAGGGAUAUUUGAGACAAACAGGUAAAUAUGUGCAAUGAGAGAACAAACAAAAGAAAAAGGAUUAAGGAACCCGAAAUAGAAGCAUUAAAGAUGUGUAUCAACAUGAGUUCACUUGAGAUUUCAACACUGUUGUGCUUCAUUUGUGCAGAUGUUCAGACCGACUGGGGAAAGACAUGACACACAGUAGGAC
ensembl:lncRNA